rnacentral:tRNA from 1 species
GGGAAUAUGGCUCAGUGGUAGAGUGCUUGCCUAGCAGGCAUGAAGCCCUGGGUUCAAAUCCUUAGUACUA